UCAAGAGAAGCUUCAAGUGGAAACCGAGGCACUGUCGUGGUUCGAGGCCUAUCAAAUGACAAUGACUAGUCCUUCUUUUAUCUUGUCUUAGCUGACAUAAAAUCACUGUUAAAUUGUUUUCCACACACUUUUGUAUCUUUUUCUCAACAGUCAGCGAAUCAUACUGUUCAUGUGUUGGCUCGGAGUCAAUUUUUCUGUCUAAUAGUAGAGAAUGGUUGUGAUUCCCUCAGUAUAUAUAGCAUAAAAAUACUCUCUCAUAGCAUAGGAGGAUCUGUUAUAUAUGAAUCUGCCAAUGGUUUUUGUACAUGCUGUGGAUUUGUUGCUGUAAUGAAUUUGGCUAAAUAUGUACGGUGUUAUAUCAUAAAGUAUUAUGGUUUGUGCUUCAAUUGUGGUAUAAAGUUGGUGUUAUUUCUUCA